rnacentral:rRNA from 1 species
CAGCAGCCGCGGGAAUACGUAGGGUGCGAGCGUUAAUCGGAAUUACUGGGCGUAAAGCGUGCGCAGGCGGUUGUGUAAGACAGGUGUGAAAUCCCCGGGCUUAACCUGGGAACUGCGCUUGUGACUGCACAGCUAGAGUAUGGCAGAGGGGGGUGGAAUUCCACGUGUAGCAGUGAAAUGCGUAGAGAUGUGGAGGAACACCGAUGGCGAAGGCAGCCUCCUGGGCCAAUACUGACGCUCAUGCACGAAAGCGUGGGGAGCAAACAGGAUUAGAUACCCGCGUAGUCCCUGUCUCUUAUAC